UUCUGUUCCAGAAGCCACUGAAGAAGUUGUUGAUGCAUUUUCCCAGUCCUUUUCCCCAUUUCGACUGCCACAACGACUUGGAGACAAGAAGCCUUCUACAGACUCGGAUCUAAAUGGUUUUGUCUCAAGUCCUGGGACCUGAACGAUUCCUUCUUCUGGACAUAUUCCAUGGUCCUGUUGAGCGGUGAAAGUGACCAGAACCUCCUUUAUGCUCCCUCCUUUAUGCUGUAUUAGCAUCUACCUAAGACUCAGAAACAUGUAGUGGCUUAUCCUCCGUUGUGCUAACAUUAGGGCAAUAGAUCAAUUUUGUACUAUAACUUUAAGUUUAGCUUUAUAUUGUAAAAGAAACCUAUAGCUAACAGUGUAUUUAAACACACACACACACACACACACACACACACACACACACACACAGAGACAUAAAAUAAGCAGAAAAAUAAAACUUUUUUCAAAAGCUCUUUUGACUAGUAUUACAGUUAAUUUCUAACCUUACUAUGCCAUUUAUAUAUCUAGUUAUAUUUUUUUCCAAAAACUUAAAGCAAAACACCCAAAAAACCCAAGAACAAAUUACCUUUAUGGAUGAAGCAGCAUACAGCAUGUCUUCCAGGGUAAAAUGGCAACACUGGUUCAAAUAUUCUUGGCAAAAUUCUUGAAUCAGCUGCAGAUUAUACAGGCUAUCGGCCAAAGACAUGGUUUCUUUCAAACAAAUAUCUUCAAAUAGGAAAAGAGCAAGGUGAUGACUUGGGGCUAAUUUGAUAAUAUACAUUUCAUAUUCAUUUUGUAACUAGUGGCUUAGAACAAACACCCAAUUACGUGGAAUCUGGUUUACAGACUCAUACAAACAUAGUGGUCACUCCACAAAAAGACUUAGCACUACCACACCUACUCAACUAUCUUCCUCAGGAUGAUACGUAAGAAGGUUCUUUAAAGAGCCUUCAUUACUUACUAAAUACUGCUACUGUUGUCUUAAUACCUGUUACCAUCUUUCUGUAGUCCAGCAAUAUUUCACUGGAACACUUACCCUCUAAUCUGACCACACCGGGACAAUAAAAAUGAAUAAGAGCAGCUAAA